GGAUCCGACCCGGGGAGCCCGUGGAUGACGGGCUGAGAGGCUGACCAGGAACCGCCAGCGACCCGUAGCACCCGAUCGCGGUCAUGCGCGCGUGGGGAGGGGAUUGCGAUCACUA
rnacentral:ncRNA from 2 species